rnacentral:tRNA from 1 species
UGGCUCAGAGGUUAAAGUGUCUGCCUGCAAUGCAGGAGACCUAGGUUCGAUCCCUGG